CACCAUGUGAGACAUGGCUUUCACCUUCCAUCAUGAUUGUGAGGCCUCCCCAGCCACAUAGAAUUGUGUCAUGAGAGCCACCCUUCCCAAAGUAGCACUUGUGAGCAGAGGUGAUCAGAGGGCUUUCUGAAGAGUGAGGAGUGACUUCAGAGGGCCAAAAAGAAGAAAAGGGAGUGAGACAGUCGUUAAGACUCCUAAUCCCGGCUUAUUUUUACUGCUUCUCAACACAGCAUUGCAAGUGGCUGAUUUGAUGGAUGUGGCACGUGACCAAGUUCUGGCUAAUGAGAUGUCUGAAACUUAAAGUGGAAGAGAUGUAUCAUCUCCUUUUCCUUGCUCCAUCCUGCUACCUGAAAAAUGGAUGUGGUGACAAGCCCUGGAAAACCACAAGGAUGAGAACAGCACUGGAGAGAUGGUGCAGCGCAUGAUGCAAUUGCCUAGGUAUCUGAUGGCUGAGUAGAAUUUCUCUCCUCCGACUUUUACAUGGGAAGGAAAUAAAACUCUAUUUUGUUUG
rnacentral:lncRNA from 10 species